ACAACUGUUACAAGUUUAACCAUGGCAACGCUGGUAUUUAUCAGCUAUGUACACAAACUGAAUUGAUUCAUAAUGGUUUCCUGUUUGACCCUCAGCAGCCACACUGAGCAUCACUCCCAACAGGUCCCAGUUCUUUCAGUAUGAUGAAAUCGUUCUGAGAUGUGCAGCACCAGCUAAUGCCAGCAGCUGGACGGUGAAGAGAAACACGUCCAAAAGGACUUCCCAGCCGUGCCAGUAUGGCUGGGCGAUCCCACAAGAUGAGCUCUGCACUAUUGAGACGGCCUUCUCGUCAGACACCGGAGUGUACUGGUGUGAGUCUCCACAGGGAGAGUGCAGCAAGACCAUCAACAUCACAGUAACUGCUGGUGUUGUGAUCCUGGAGAGCCCUGCACAUCCUGUGACGGAGGGAGAUGAAGUGACGCUUCGUUGUUCCUACAAGG